rnacentral:pre_miRNA from 1 species
AAUGUACUCCCUCCGUCCGUAAAUACUUGUCACCAAAAUGGAUAAGAGGGGAUGUAUCUAAUAUACGUCUAGAUACAUCCCUUUUUCUUGUCCAUUUUGGUGACAAGUAUUUACGGACGGAGUUUAGAUACAUCCCCUCUUACCCAUUUUGGUGACAAGUAUUUACGGACGGAGGGAGUAUUUU